rnacentral:rRNA from 1 species
AGGAUUAACGCUGGCGGCGUGCCUGACACAUGCAAGUCGAACGAGGCCGCAAGGCCGAGUGGCGGACGGGUGAGUAACACGUGACCAACCAACCUCGAAGUUGGGAAUAGCUCUGCGAAAGUAGGGGUAAUACCGAAUGUGGCCCAGGGCGGGCAUCCGCCUUGGUCUAAAGAUUCAUCGCUUCGAGACGGGGUCGCGGCCUAUUAGCUUGUUGGUGAGGUAACGGCUCACCAAGGCGAUGAUGGGUAGCUGGUCUGAGAGGACGACCAGCCACACUGGGACUGAGACACGGCCCAGACUCCUACGGGAGGCAGCAGUGAGGAAUCUUCCGCAAUGGGCGAAAGCCUGACGGAGCAACGCCGCGUGUGGGAUGAAGACUCUAGGGUUGUAAACCACUGUCGGAGGGACGAUCGUGACGGUACCCUCAAGAAAGCCCCGGCUAACUACGUGCCAGCAGCCGC